rnacentral:rRNA from 1 species
AGAGUUUGAUCCUGGCUCAGGAUGAACGCUAGCGACAGGCCUAACACAUGCAAGUCGAGGGGCAUCGGGGCGAGGAGCAAUCCUUGCCGCCGGCGACCGGCGCACGGGUGAGUAACGCGUAUGCGACCUGCCCGUUGCAGGGGGAUAAUCGGGAGAAAUCCCGUCUAAUACCGCGUAAUGCCGCGGGGCUGCAUGGCCCUGCGGCCAAAGGGAGCGAUUCCGGCAACGGAUGGGCAUGCGUGACAUUAGCUAGUUGGCGGGGCAACGGCCCACCAAGGCGACGAUGUCUAGGGGUUCUGAGAGGAAGGUCCCCCACACUGGUACUGAGACACGGACCAGACUCCUACGGGAGGCAGCAGUGAGGAAUAUUGGUCAAUGGGCGCGAGCCUGAACCAGCCAAGUCGCGUGAGGGAUGACGGCCCUACGGGUUGUAAACCUCUUUUGUCGGGGAGCAAAUUCCGUUACGCGUAGCGGAGUCGAGAGUACCCGAAGAAAAAGCAUCGGCUAACUCCGUGCCAGCAGCCGCGGU